UACGUAGGGUGCAAGCGUUGUCCGGAAUUAUUGGGCGUAAAGGGCUCGUAGGCGGUCUGUCACGUCGGGAGUGAAAACUCAGGGCUUAACCCUGAGCCUGCUUCCGAUACGGGCAGACUAGAGGUAUGCAGGGGAGAACGGAAUUCCUGGUGUAGCGGUGAAAUGCGUAGAGAUGUGGAGGAACACCAGUGGCGAAGGCGGCCCCACUGGAUCGGUACUGACGCUGAGGUGCGAAAGCGUGGGGAGCGAACAGG
rnacentral:rRNA from 1 species